rnacentral:tmRNA from 1 species
GGGGGUGAAAGGGUUCGACUUAGGUCAACUGAGUAAGAGCAGCAUGUCGAGGUUGUCGGGAGGCCUCGUAAAACACCUGACACACAUAUAAAGGCUGAAACAGAAGUUCCAGCAAGCGUGGACGCGCUUCUCUCGAGAAUUGGUGAGGGAAUUUCUCAUCCGGUUUUCGGUGGAGUUGCUCCCGUCGCAAGCGUUGCCUUAAGAUAAGGCAACCCGUCUUUUCAUUUUCGCCUGCGGGAUGAACAGACGCAUGCAGCAGGCUCGUCAUCGUCGGUUUGUUUUUGACGGCGCUGAUUAAACCUUCAAAAGCUGCCCUGCGUGGAAUCCUGUCUGCCGGAGUCGGCGCGGGCAAGCCAAAAGGCAGGCUAAACAUGUAGAUACUCUUAUGCGUUGCUUAAGGACGCGGGUUCAAUUCCCGCCACCUCCACCA